GCGGGUGUGGCUCAAUGGUAGAGCGUCGGCCUUCCAAGCCGAAUGCGUGGGUUCGAUUCCCAUCACCCGCUCCA
rnacentral:tRNA from 3 species